GGAAGGAGGGAAAUGGCCCGUUGUUAGCUCCGGAGCGGCUUCGGCUCUUCGGUUCGCGCAGCGCUGACCAUUCGGACCUUUGGGGCAGAACGCAAGACAGUCAACUCGCUGCUCCUCGGACCUGACUGCGUUCUGAGGUCAUGUUCACUCCCUUGGGGCAGCUGAAAUCCAAUGACUGGUCAGUUGUGGAGGUGCAUGGCACAGGCCCUGAACUGUAACAAUCUGGCACAAUCAGCCUUGGAAUUUCCCAUGGGACCAGUUAAAGCCGCUGUGGUAAGUGCUCUGCAGUUCACCUUCCCCUGCCCAGUCCUGCUUCCCUCACAGGCCCUGCUCCUGAGAGUGGUCUUGAGUAAACCACCUAUGUGCAAAUCCCGGCCUCAGUCAUUAUUUUCAGAAGAGAGAUAGAGAUCACAAGUAAGCAGAGCAGCAGGCAGACGGAGAGAGAAGCAGGCUCUCUGCUGUGCGGGAAGCUGGAUGUGGGGCUCGAUCCCAGGAUCCUGGAACCAUGACCCGAGCCGAGACAGCUGCUUAACCAACUGAGUCACCCAGGCACCCUCUGUUUAAGUUUUUAAUAACUGUAAAUUUUACCCCAACAAAUUUGAUGUUUUCUUAUUUAUUGUUUUAUAUGUUAAUUUUCUGGUUCAUAAGAUUUUAUGACUAAUUUUGCACACACCUAAGUAUUUUUCUGUACUACAAUUUUUCUUAAGUUUUAUUUAUUUAAUCUCUAUACAAAGUGGGGCUCAAACUCACAACCUCAAGAUCAAGAGUCACAGGCUCUUCCAAAUGGGCCAUCCAGGUACCCCUGUACCACAAUUUUUAACAGCCACCUAGAAUUCAUUUGGUACAUCAUAGUCAGUUCAUCUUGUAUUCUCAGAUAUUUUGAUGUUUCCUGGUUUUUACUGUGGCAGACCCUGAUCUCAGCAGGCCAACACCCAUUCCCAGUUUUCCUCCUACUCACCUGCCUGUAGGAUAGGAAAACCAAAUACUCCCAUAUAGUUUGUUUUCCUCAUCUUUCUUACAACUAGGGCUAGUAUCAAUUCUAAUCAUCAGGAAGUAAGGUGUAGAUUACUGAGGUUGAGGGGGAAGUUCCAGGAAAGGGAGGCGUACAUAUAUUGCCUUCCAGAUAAAAUGGGAUAGCCCAGACUGGUACCAUUUCUUGUCUGUUCUUUCUGCUUUGUGAGCAGUGAGAUGUCUAGAGCUGUAGUAGCCAACUUUCAUCCAUGAGGGAAAAGUCAAGAAAAUUCAAGGCUUUUGACCUUGAGAAAACAGAAUGUUUAAACCAGUGCCGGCAAUGACCUAUCUUUGGAUUUCUUGCAAUGAUGAGAAAGAACCUUUUUUUUUUUUUUUUUUUUUUUUUUUAAUGUACUUGUGUUUGGAUUUCCUGUUACUUACAGCUGAAAUCAUUUAUAAACAUCACUGUUCCUGACAUUCAUGAUUAGAAGUAAUGCAGUGAUGAACAUUGUGGGUAAAUACUUGAAUAGCAACAACUUAACAUAAAAAUCAGGAAGAGAAUUAGGAUCCUGCAUUUAUAACAUUUCUUCUCCUUGGCCAGAUGCAGCUCUGUCCUUAACUUGCCCACUUUCUUUUUGUGAAGACCAGAAAAAUAGCAUACAUAGGCUUCCUAAAUUUUUUCAAAAGACAGUAAUAUUUGGGAGAGGAAAUAGACCUUCUAUACAUCAGAAAGUUACCUCUUCAAAUAGGAUAUUUUAGCAAAUACACUGAGCCAUGGUGUUUUCAUCCACUAAUACAGAAUCAGCAAGGGUUUUCGGAGCAAGUAUUAUGUGCAUUUUAGACUAAGUCAUGAAUUAACUAACUCUCCAUACAUUUGACUGGAAAUCAUUAGUAUCUCUAGAGUUGGGAUAUUUUAUCCUCUCAGAAUAAACAUGGAGAUUCAAAGAAGCUGAACUGAACUACCGUUUGAAGUGGAAAAGAGCAGUGUUGAUUGCAAAAUAGAUACUGAAAUUGUGUUUGAUUUCUGUUUUCUAGUGGCAGGCACUAGACAAUGCAAAGCCUGAAUCGGGUGAAUCUAUUUCCAUGACUCCCACUUACUCAUGCAGUCUUGAUGCUGUUUCUAAUUCUGCAGCCCAGAAACCUCAAGUUGGCUGGUUCUGGUUCAAAGUAAAGGCAUGGGGAUGAUUUUUUGGUAUCAUAGUGAAUCAGAGUACCUAAGACCUGAAGUGUCCCAAGUUAAAGAUGUCCUGGCUCAUUCUUAUUAGUGUGCUUAGGAUGAAAGAGAGCUCCACGUCUGGCCAGACUACUUGCAAGCUGCUCCAGACUACACUGCCAUUCAUGAGCAUAGACUAAAACUGAACUUGCUUAAGCAGCAGAGUGAAAAAACAACCCAAGGAUAUCAUAUAUCGAAUAACGUUGUAAUAUCCACAUUAUAUAAAGAAGUCUUACGACACAGCAACAAAAAACAUACAUCCCGAUUUUAUUUUUUCCUUUUUUUAGUUUUAGGUAGGCUCCACACCCAGCAUGGGGCUUGAGAUCAUGACCUUGAGAUCAAGAAUGAUACAUUCUACCAACUGAGCCAGCCAGGCACCACAUAUAUCCCAAUUUCACAAUGGGCAAUGAACAUAUACAAAUGGGCAACGAGCAUAUGAAACAAUGUUCAGUGUCACCGAUCAGAACCACAGUGAAAUGUCACCUUGUACUUAUUAGGAUAGCUCCAAACAAAAAGCUAGAAAAUAACAAGUGUUGUAAAGGAUGUGGAGAAACUAGAAUCCUUUUGCAUUGCUGGUAGGAAUAUAAAGUAGUGCUUCCCCUAUGGAAAACAGUGUGGUGGUUCUUCAGAAAGUUAAGAAUCAGAAUUACCAUAUGACCCAGGAAUCCCACUUCUGGGUGUAUAUCCAAAUGAAUUGAAAGCAAGAUCUUGAAGAGAUAUUUAUGUACCCAUGUUUAUAACAGCACUAUUCACAAUAGCCAAGAGGUGGGAGCAACCCAGAUAUCCAUAAACAGGAAUGGAUAAACAAAAUGUGUCAUAUCCAUACAAUGGAAUAUUAUUCAGCCUUAGAAAGGAAGGAAGGAAGGAAAUCCUGUCACAUGCUACAGAGUGGAUUUUGAGGACAUUAUGUUAGAUGACACAAGCUAGUCACAAAAAAUCAAAUCCCGUGUGAUUCCACUUACAUGAGGUAUCCAGAGUAGUCAGAUUUAUAGGGACAGAGAAUAGAAUGGUGGUUGCCAGGGGCCAGGAGAGGAGGGGAAAGGGAGAAGUUUGGGGACUGACUAUUUGAAAAGCAUAGAGUUUCAGUUUUGCAAAAUGGGAAUGUCUGGAUGUGGGUGCACAGCAUGUGAAUACACUUAGCACGGAGGAGGGGAAGGGAGGGGAGGUGAAGAUCACGAGUGGCCCACAACGCUUAACAGAUUUACUAUCUUGGCCCACUACAGAAGUUUACUAACCCCCGCAAGCUCUAUUAUUCGUGGCCCAUUGUACAUUUUCGUGUUUUGUUGAUAUGUUAGGUGCAAGAAGUGGGAACCACACAAUUUUAAGCAAAAAGGAAUUUAAUACAGGAAAUCAGGAGCUUAGCAAAUCAUUGGAUAGGGUGGUUGGAUCCCUAGGGGCCUCCAGGAAUGAUUCCCAGGAAAAGAUUGCUAUUCUGGCCUACCAGUGGGAGCUGCUACCUCAGCAGUAAGCAGAAAGGUGGUGAUCAGUGGACUCCACUGGUGCUGUAGAGUUCAAAGACAUGCCCCUGUAGCUGUGAUCCAAGGUCAGGAAGCCCUGCUGGCCCUGGGACAACCUCUCAGCGCCUAGGGAGUUAGUACCUGGACACUGAAAUAAUGGCUACAGGAAAGCCCGAUGGGUCCACAGGUGAGUUUGCAGCAGAAACAAAGGGCAUGGCUCUAGCCUUGGGUCCGUCUUUCGAGUGCUUCUCAUUGGCUAAAGCAGAAUCCUCACUGCAGGGAGAUGGAGGAAACGUGCUUUUCCCUUCUUGAACUCCUGCAGGAUCCAAAGACACACCUAGAGGAUUAGAGUGGAUGCUGAGAACCAGUUCAGAGCACCCACCACAGCUGGUUGGUGGCUUCAGGCUCAUUCCGACUCUUCUCAUCUUUAGCCAACUUCUUCUUCUUUUAUUUGAGAAACCUCUGACACUCCCUUCCCUACCUCCACCAUUGCCAGAUAGGAUGCUGUCCUGCGAGCCGCCAUAGCUCUAAGCUCUGGCUCUGCUCCAUCUAUGCCACUCCAUAUUGGAACAGCCUGCUUUCUUCCUCCACUAGAUUGCAAGCUCCUUGAAAGCACAAACUCAGUCUUACUCAUUAUUGUGUAAGUAAUUGGUAUAUACUUGUUGAGAGUAAUAGUUUCUGUGUUCUAACAUUACAAGUAGCAUCUCUUCUGUUUUUGUCGUUCCAUCUUUGUGCUAAUAUCUGUAUACAGUGACAGCUCAGUACUUGUUAACUUUCUGGCUUUCAUGUAGGCAAAGCAAAGAGAAAAUUCACCAAUGCUCUAUGUGUCUGUAUUCUUUUUUUUUUUUUUUUAAAGCUUUUUAAAAUUUAUUUGACGCAGAGAGAGAGAUCACAAGUAGGCAGAGAGGCAGGCAGAGAGAAAGGAGGAAGCAGGCUCCCUGCUGAGCAGAGAGCCCAAUGCGGGGCUCGAUCCCAGGACCCUGAGAUCAUGACCUGAGCCAAAGGCAGAGGCUUUAACUCACUGAGCCACCCAGGCGCCCCUGUCUAUAUUCUUAAUUGACUCAGUAUACUUAUAUAGGUUAAUGAAUACUUAUAUAGGUUAUGAUACUUAUAUAGGUUAUUACUUAUAUAGGUUAAUGAAUACUAUUUGAACAGUUGCAGCAUAUGUUUUUAAGUAUAUACACUGAAGUAUGUGUCCUAUUAGGUAGACACUAUUUUUAUUCCCAUUGUAUAGAUUAAGAAACUCUGGCUUAGGUAAGGUAAGUAGGUUAUUUACAUUUACACCAAGUGACAGAACUGAGACUCACAUCAGGAUCUGGCUAAUACCAGAAACUGUGCUCUUAGCCAUGAUGAUGAUGGUGAUGAUGAGAUGAAGAUUAUUUUAACAGUAUUAUUUUAACAGCUGAUGGUCCCAGACAUUGUGGUAGGCAUUUAAAAUUUUUAUUUAUUUGUUUUUAGCGAGAGAGAGAAAGAGCAAGUGCUAGUGGGGGGAGGGGCAGAGGGAAAGAAUCUCAAGCCGACUCCACCAAGUGCAGAGCUUGAUGCAAGGCUCAGUCCCACGACCCUGAGAUCAUGACCUGAGCUGAAAUCAAGAGUCACACACUCACCUGAAUGAGCCACCUUGGCACCUCUGUGUUAGGCAUUUUACAUGUGUUAUCUUAAGCACUGUAUUUCCUUGCAUCGAAUUGAUGCUUACUAGUUGUUGCAUGUGGUGAGGUAGACAAACCUCUUAAUAUCUGUGGGCUCUGCCACUAAUUCAUUGUGUGCCUUCAGGCAAACUACAAGCCCUUCUGAGCUCCAAUUUUUUUUUCUGCAAAUCAGUGAAUGAUUUUUAAAACACUUCUAGUUCUAAAAUUCUAAAACUCUGAAUCAAUUCUACUUUGGUUUUCAUCCCAUAAUUUUUACUUAUGUAUAGUAAGACUUUUCUCACUCUCUGAAUUUUAAGUUCCUAUAGGAUCUUGAUUUUGUUUUAUUGUUUUCUCACAUCUUCAGGGUACCUAGUCCAGUGCUCAGCAUAAAACAUAACAGCCUCAUGGAGGUGUAUAUGGAGAUAUAUAAAUUGAGAUCUGUCCAAAGGGAACUAUCUAUCUUCACAAAGCUGAACUUAUUGUUGUAUGUUACCUUCCUUUGGAGACGCCAUUCAGCCAUAACUUGGGGCUACCUCAGAGAUACCCGUAGUUAGCACCUUUGGACUUUUCUAUAGUCAGAGAUAAGAUUCUUAUCCUUAAGCAAAGUUUUGGUCACUGCCUAAGCAUCUCCUCCUGUGACUGAAUAUAGAAAGAUUUCUUUCAUGAAAAUUGUGCUGGGUGCCUCAUUCCUGGUCUGUGGAUAAUGCCAGAUAUGGCAGGGUGUUUUCAACAGGGAGGCCAUUUUUAUUCUUUAUCUUAUCUCUUAUAGGACUAUCAGAAACUCACAAGUCAUUCCAUAGCUUUUCUGAAUCUUUGAGGAAUUACUUAUUAGAAAAUGAAGUAAAAAGAAAGAAAGAAAGAAAAAAGAACUAGAAUUCUCCCAAACCUAUGGAUGGCUUAUGCAUAAUGCAAAAAUAAUUCUGAAACUUUGACUUUACAUGUGUCCUUCAGAUAGUCUGAAGAAAAACAGUACCUUAAAUAUAGAUCAAAUGGGGGGCGCCUGAGUGGCUCAUGGUUUAAAGUCUCUGCCUUCGGCUCAGGUCAUGAUCCCAGGGUCCUGGGAUCGAGUCCCGCAUCGGGCUCUCUGCUUAGCAGAGAGCCUGCUUCCUCCUCCUCGCUCUCUCUCUGCCUGCCUCUGUGCCUACUUGUGAUCUCUGUCUGUCAAAUAAAUAAAUAAAUAAAUAAAUAAAUAAUCUUUUAAAAAUAUAUAUAUAGAUCAAAUGGGAAAGUUAAGCCAAAAAGUAUGUGAACAGGGAAAAACAAUAAAUGACUUUUAAAAUAGUUCUUUUUAGCUAUUAUUUUACAUUCGAGGGGAAGGACAAAAUUCACUUCUUGGGUAAAUGGAGCUUUUGCUUGAGAAAGAAUAUAAAAGGUUGGCCUUUUGGUGUGGUCAAUUCAUAUGGAAGGAGGUUUGACAAUGAAAAUUAUGUUGCUCAGAAUAAUAGAAUUUCAGAGGUUGGACCUGAAGAGCUCAGGAAAGCGAUGGAGAAGGAAGUCUGAGCAAAAUGGCAGCAAGCAGGCCCUGAGAAGAAAAAAACAAAUUCCUUGUAUUGAAAAUGGCCAAAGAACUUUCAGACUGUUUUCCAAGGCUGCUGUGACGUUUUACAUUCUCGCCAGUACUGUGUGAGAGUUCCAGUUUUGCCAAGAAUCGCUAUUAUCUUUUUAUAAAGCCAACUAGGGGGCUCCACACCCAACAAUGAGCUGAAAAACUCACAACCCUGAGAUCAGGAGUCACAUGCUCUACCAACUGAACCAGCCAGGAGCCCUGGAUUUUUUUUAUUCCUUCGUGAAAAUAGAAUGCAGGCUGGCAGAAUAAGGAGAAAAAUCAGGAUAUUUUGGAACUUAGAGAGAGACACAGCGAGAGAGGGAACACAAGCAGGAGAAGCGGGAGAGGGAGAAGCAGGCUUCCGGCCAAGCAGGGAGCCCGAUGCGGAGCUCCAUCCCAGGACCCUGGGAUCAUGACCUGAGCCGAAGGCAGAUGCUUAACGACUGAGCCAUCCAGGUCAAGAAAGGAAAACAGGAAACAUUGGAAAGAUAAACGGAGUCUUUCCUGUGAAGAGUGUGUGCACAAGUGCAAGAGCGGGGAAGGAGGUGUAGAGGGAGAGAGAGAGAAUCUUCAGCAGGCUCCAUGCCCAGCAAGCAGUCUGACAAGGAGCUCAAUCUCAUGACCCUGAGAUCAUGACCAGAGCUGAAAUCAAGAGUCCAUCACUUAACAGACUGAAUCACCCAAGCACCCCUCAAAGCAAGUAUAGUUCUAUAAGUUCACAUAGCUUAGAAAACUUAGUAAGUCUGGACUUAAGGGAAAUUUGGGUGAUUUCAAAUUAAAGCAGUAUUUUCCAAAGGGCUCUUUCUGCACCCCCACAAAGGGCUUUUUAUGGACUAUUAAUCCCAGGCAAAUUAUAGUCAAAAUAGAUUCUGUGAUAGAAGAGGUAUAGGGGAUACUUGGUUAAACCAAAUUCAUUGAAUAUCUUUACUGUUGGACUUCUCAGAAGCUUUAAUAUGCUCACAUGCACUGUUUAUCUCCAGGACAAAGAAACUGCUUUAUGAAGCAUUUCUUAAAAUGCUUAUUUAAUCAUAGGGUUUUAUUGACUCUAGAACUCUUUUAAAAAAAUUUUUUUAAAGGUUUUUUUUAUUUACUUGACAGAUCACAAGUAGGCAGAGAGGCAGGCAGAGAGAGGGGGGAAGCAGGCUUUCUGCUGAACAGAGAGCCCAAUGUGAGGCUCGAUUCCAGGACCCUGAGGUCAUGACUGAGCCGAAGGCAGAGGCUCAACCCACUGAGGCACCUAGGCACCCCUCUUUUUAAAAUUUUUUAAUUGAAAUAGUUGACAUGUUAGUUUCAGGUAUACAAGAUAGUGACUCAGCAAUUAUAUACAUUAUCAUAUUCUUACCAUGAUAAGCAUAGUUACCAUCUGUCACCAAAUGAAGUUAUUACAGUAUGAUUAACUAUAUUCCCUAUGCCAUACUUUUCAUCCCUUGACUGGCUUAUUUUAAAUUUGUACCUCUUAAUCCCCUUUACCUAUUUUACACAUUCCCCCCAUUCCCCUCCCAUUUGGCAACCACUUGUUCUCUGUAUUUAUGAGUCAGUUUCUCUUUUUUGUUGUUAUCUGUUUGUUGGUUUACUUUGUUUUUUAGAUUCCACAUAUAAGUGACAUCAUAUGGUAUUUGUCUAACUUAUUUCACUUAGGAUAAUACACUCUAGGUCCAUC